CAGAGGGGGCAAGCGUUGUUCGGAAUUACUGGGCGUAAAGGGCGCGUAGGCGGCCUGUUAAGUCGAACGUGAAAUCCCCGGGCUCAACCCGGGAACUGCGUCCGAUACUGGCAGGCUUGAAUUCGGGAGAGGGGAUGCGGAAUUCCAGGUGUAGCGGUAGAAAUGCGUAGAUAUCUGGAGGAACACCGGUGGCGAAGGCGGCAUCCUGGACCGAGAUUGACGCUGAGGCGCGAAAGCCGAGGGGAGCGAAACGGGAUUAGAUACCCCGGUAGUCCUGGCCCUAAACGAUGAAUGCUUGGUGUGGCGGGUAUCGAUCCCUGCCGUGCCGAAGCUAACGCAUUAAGCAUUCCGCCUGGGGAGUACGGUCGCAAGGCUG
rnacentral:rRNA from 1 species